rnacentral:lncRNA from 1 species
UAUUUGCCAAACCACCAGGGCACUAGGCCCAAUGUGAGUUGGAUCACUUAGCCACGCUUCAUAAUUAGGAAAACGAGCACCGUGGAAAUACAUGCCGCUCAGCCCAAGAAAGAUAAUGGAGAGUUGACCGAAACAUGCACUAAAUACUCUUUGAGAGAUCUCGUCUAAUUCACUGGUAUGGCUAUUAAAAUCUUGAGCAUCAGCAUGUAGGUUCCAUAUCCAAGUGGUAGUAUCAGGCCCUUUAGCUAUUGUUCUUGAGAAAUGACCUGCUCUGGCCCAUUCCUCAAAAGAACUUUUUACAGGACCCCUAUCUACCAAAAUUUUAACUUCUGGUUUCGGCGAACGAAUAAUCAUUGAGUCCUUCUCUUUCCGGACAACACUUACAAAGAGACCCGCCAACAAUCAAAUAAUUAGUGAACCUUAGAGAUAGAGAGAUAUUUCUAUAAUUAGUUCGUUUCUCUUCUAUUUUUCUAUCUCCCAUCUAUCUAUUUUCUUUAGUUAUUUACUAGAGCAAUUAUGAUCUAGAAGUCGAUCCGGGGCAAGUGUUCAGAUCUAUUAUGACAUAGCCUUGAGGCGCUCAACGGACCCUUUAACCUUUUAAAAACCUUUUUGGGCUUUGGAUUGAUCCAAAAACGACUUUUUUGUGCAACCUAGUGUAUAUUCAUAGAAGUUAUUAGAUGGAGCUCUUUAAUUUUUUACCUAGAAGAUUGUAAUUACUCUAUUCCAAAUCACGCUAGUAGCCAUUAGACAUUACUAAGAGACAUCCCCGAUAUAUAUAUAUUUAGUGAUUCAAGGGUUUCUUUUAUUAGUUUUAAUACUAAUAACUAAUAAGAAUUUUGUUUGAUUGAAUUUUUUCAUUUUAUUAUUUUUUAAUAUUUAAUAUAAAUAAAUAAUUUUAAUAUUUAAUAUAUUAAUAAAAAUAAAUAAUAAAUAAAUAGAAUAAAUAAAAGUCUAUUAUGUCCUAUAUCUAUCUCUUUUAUUCCUAAAAAAUAACAGAUGAAUAUAGAAGUGAAAUAGAAGGCUUAGAAGGGAGAUAAUGAAAUUAUGUGAUUGGGUCUUCCAAAAGCAAAGGAAUGAUCCGUUUUUUAGUUAACUGAUCUGAUGGGUCCAACAAACAAUUAAUUAUAACAAAUAUCUAAAUUCUAAAUAAAGGAUAAUAAAUAAACGGGGUCGUCUUUUAUUCGAAACGUCUCGUGAUCUUUAACCAAUUAUUAAACCAAGCCUCUGCAAUUUCAGAAUCUACAUGUUGAAUGGCCUGUUCACCCCAGCCGGAAUAGGUAGUUCAAUUCCUUCCCUUAGAACCGUACUUGAGAAUUUCUUACCUCAUACGGCUCAACAGUCAAUUCUUUUGGUGUCCCAUUUUGAUCUAUACCAUAUCUAUCUAAUGAGAUUUCUCAUGGAUCUAUCCCAGUUUUAGGGUUAACCAAAAGAAAAAUAGGUUAAUUACAUGAGUUUCAAACUGAAAUUUGGAUGAAUAAUUUGUUUAUUUAGUUUUAUUUUUUUUCCCACCUUCAGAAAAAUAAAGCAUAAGUAUUUCUACUACUGGUAGAAUUUUCUGAAAGGUAACUAUCUCGGUUUCAUAGAUAAAUUUAUAUAGAAUCUUUGAAAAAGACUUUCUUUCAUAAGAAAGAAAAUACUAUCUUUGGGAUCUGAUUCUACACCGCUACUCAAGACUUUAGUAGAUCGACUCUAUUACAUAAGUUAAUUCCUAAUUCUUAUCUCACAUUAUGAGAUAAGUACGCAGUUAUUGUUGUAUCGGUCCAAAAGCUCGCUAAUUGAUCUUUACGGUGCUUCCUCUCUCUCUAUCAAUUAAAGCCUUUUAUCCAUACGAAGAGCUAAGCCACUAAUGUCGUGGCGAAGGUUAGACCUCAUAAAGUCAGCGAAGCUAAGGUUUCGUAUGUGUGAUAGAGAAAGGAAAAGCGACCCCGUGCCCUACUACAAUUCUUAUUCAAUAGUUUAAUAUUACUACAAUGUCGUGCCGAUGUCUCCCUUACGAAAUUGAAGAUAAGUCUUUUGAUUAGGGGGGGUGACAACCGAGGCUUUUAAGAGAAGUUGCCAUAUAGGUUAUAAAGAGCUAUCUCAUAUCUAAUAGGAAUAAUCCAAUUCUUAUGUCUACUGUGGGAAAUGGGGUCCCAAGACCAUCUCUUCGACGACGUAGACAAAGGGUUCCCAUCAUGUUCGAUCUGAGAAGAGAGAUGGAGAAGAAGAUGUCCUCCUCAAGGGGUCGACGCCCUCGCUCAGAACUAAAGGAUAGUGGAGAUAGUCGCACGUAAUGACAGAUCACGACCAUAUUAUUAAAAGCUUGUGGUAAGAAUGGGUUUCGUUCUAGUGCUCAAAAAUAAUAUUCCAAAGCUUUCGUAUGUUCUCCAUUUCUUGUGUGGAUAAGCCCUAUAGUAUAGAUUAUAUAACUUCAAUCAUAGGGAUCAAUUUCUAGUCGCAUAGCUUCAUAAUAAUUCUGUAAAACAUUUGUGUAAUUUCCUUUGGAUUGAGCCGACAUCUG